rnacentral:rRNA from 1 species
CCCCGAUGACGGUACCGUAGAGAAUAAGCCAACGGCUAACUCUGUGCCAGCAGCCGCGGUAAGACAGAGGUGGCAAGCGUUGUUCGGAAUUACUGGGCGUAAAGAGUCUGUAGGUGGUUUGUCAAGUCUUUGGUGAAAAGGCCGUAGCUUAACUAUGGGAAAUGCCAAAGAGACUGGCAGGCUGGAGGCUGGGAGAGGGAAGCGGAAUUUCUGGUGUAGCGGUGAAAAUGCGUAGAUAUCAGAAGGAAGGCCGGUGGCGAAGGCGGCUUCCUGGAACAGUCCUGACACUGAGAGACGAAAGCGUGGGGAGCAAACAGGAUUAGAUACCCUGGUAGUCCACGCCCUAAAACGAUGGGUACUAAGUGUGGAGGGGUUAAACCCUCCGUGCCGCAGCAAACGCAGUAAGUACCCCGCCUGGGGAGUACGGCCGCAAGGUUGAAACUCUAAAGGAAUUGACGGGGGCCCGCACAAGCGGUGGUGCAUGUGGUUUAAUUCGACGCAACGCGAGGA